GUUUAUGGUUUGCUUAACUACACAGUGUUGCUGUUCCCUUGAAAAAUAACUUCCUUUCUGAAGUGAUCUAUGUAGCUGAACCAGUGUUCCCACUCAUAAACUGAAUUUUAAUUGCCUGCUAUCUCUCUCGUAUGUCUUUGUCACCUGAGAGCAUGGAGCAGAUGUUUAGAUGCAUCUGCAUCUUAGGUGCUGCUGAGGUGGCAGCCAGAGAGAUGUUCUCAUAAAAUCUUCGCGGUAGUUCUUGCCUACGGUCAUUCUGGGAGGGGCCUCACAACAGUGCAGCUGCUUCAGGAGAUGACUAUCGUCAGCAGGAUAAUGGGAUGUCCUUAUCCACUCGACAUCAGUUGUUUAAGUUACUCCAAUUACAUAACAGCGAUGGUAAUCAGACAACCGUGUCGCAUCAAGAACGUUAAUUGGGGUUUGAGUAGUAAAUCUGAGAAAAGGAGAACUUGGGUUCAGUAUUAGGAUCAAUUCUUUCAGGGAAUCUAUGGAGUAGAAAAGUUUCACUGGAGAAACCAUGGAAACUUCAUCGCUUCAGUUACCUGAAGUGACUAGACAGGGCUCUGGAGCAACAUAGAAAUUUAUUUUCCAUUGACAAUUCAGAAGCAUCAGAUGCAUUACCUUACCUAGCAGCUGGUGUCUCUGCUUGAUAUCCUCUGAAUCUGUUUUUUCCAGGAAGCUUGACAGCCACCUAUGAGGAAAGUGGACUUUGUGACACAUGAAAGAGACCCCUGGGCCUUGAAGCUACUAUGUGGCAGGGAAAUACUUCAUGUCUGCCAAAAGCCUUGGAAGUGCCUCUCAUGGCUGCUCUGUUGUUCUGCAUAAAGCAAGACGUGUAUUUGCAUGUCCUCCUGCUCUGGCUCCAGCAGAAACCACCUGAAGGAUUUUCUGAAUGGUCAGAUCCUCCUCCUAUAGCGCUAAUCAACACAGCAAUGCACAGAUUUUGCCUUUGGAGAGAUGUUCAAAUCAGGAGAUCCUAUGGAAAAUCUUCAGGACUGUUUGAAAUUCCCAUCUGUGGAGCUCUUGUGUCGAGCAGUCAAGUGCUUGCUUGUGCUGCUGUCCAGAAGUUCAGACAAUGACCUAUUUGACUGCCAGUCGACACCGCGUUAGUCGGCUGUCUCUCCGUUCCAGAGAGACUGGGGAGCUCCCGACCCAGCCUGGCCUGACUCUUUCAGGAGCCAGGGAGCUGAGGGAUGAUGCUGCCUGACUGGUGGUGCUGGGACUGACCAGCUCU
rnacentral:lncRNA from 1 species